rnacentral:snoRNA from 1 species
UGCAGCUGUGUCAAAUUCGGGGCCCGCCUCACGUGGCAGGCACCGGCCCAGGAGGCUGCCACAGGAACACUGUGACUCAUGGGCCCUGCUCCCCUGGCUUGGGUGCAGGGAUAAAUUAGGUCACAGACACCA